GUGGGUAUAGCUCAGUUGGUUAGAGCGUUAGGUUGUGGCCCUAAAGGUCGCCGGUUCGAUUCCGGUUACUCACCCCA
rnacentral:tRNA from 1 species